AGUGAACGCUGGCGGCAGGCCUAACACAUGCAAGUCGAACGGAAGCACCGUGCUUGCUUGCGGUUCCAGAGGGGGAGGGGCGAGCGAUGCCGGGGAAUAUCCGUGGCUGCGGGUUCGAACGUCCGGAAGCAGGCGCUACUACCGCAUAAGCGCAGAGGGAGAACGAGGGAGAGCUUCGGAACUCACGCCCUCAGGCGAGUGUAGGCGGGGCUAGCUGGUUGGGGGGGUGACGGGCUACCAAGCCACCGAUCCGUAACUGGUCGGAGAGGAUGAUCGGCCACACUGGAACGGAGACACGGUCCAGACUCCUGCGGGAGGCAGCAGUGGGGAAUAUUGGACAAUGGGCGGGAGCCUGAUCCAGCCAUGCCGUGUGUGUGAAGAAGGUCUUCGGAUUGUAAAGCCCUUUUUGGGGGGAGGAAGGGCAGUAGGUUAAUACCUUGCUGUUUUGACGGUACCGACAGAAUAAGCACCGGCUAACUUCGUG
rnacentral:rRNA from 1 species